rnacentral:tRNA from 1 species
AUGUAGUUCAGUUGGUAGAGUGCUUGCCUAGCAUGCAAGAUGCCCUGGGUUUGAUUCUUAGCAU